rnacentral:misc_RNA from 1 species
GAACGCACCUUGCGCUCCCUGGUAUUCCGGGGAGCAUGCCUGUCCGAGCGUCAUUACACCACUCAAGCCUGGCUUGGUCUUGGGCGCCGCGGUCUCCCGCGCGCCUCAAUGUCGUCGGCCGAUGCGUCCGUCUCCGAGCGUUGUGAUUUAUCAAACCGCUCGCGGGGUCGGGGGCCUCGCGCCGGGAAACCCACAUUUUUACAGGUUGACCUCGGAUCAGGUAGGGAUACCCGCUGAACUUAAG